rnacentral:lncRNA from 1 species
GGGACCUGCCAACUAGCAGGGCUGAAAGAGGUGUAACAUAAACAGGGCUGAAACGCACCCCUUGCUUACCAAAUUGCAGGCAAGAAGAAGAGAAGAGAGAAGGAGACAAGAGCUGUGGCCCUUCAGGGAGCCCAGACCUAGGAGCUCCCCAAGCCAGGGCUGUGAUGCCUUCUUUGGGGCUCUGCAGUUCCUGCAUCUCCAAGUUUCCAGGCACCACUGCAUUCCCUGAUACACACAGUGGAAGCUGUUUGCAGUCGGUCUGGUCCAGCUGCAGCCUCACAGGGAGCUGGCACCUGUGCCGGUACCUGGAGCUGCCCACCCCACUGCAGCUGGCAUGCUUGGCUGUGUGCAGUGGUCAGAUCCCAUGCUUGCUUGCUCACACACCAUUCACUGCUCUGUACCCAGCUCAUCCUUGGCAGGUGUGGGAUCCACACCACUAGCAUGAGCCGAGUGGACAGAACGAACCCAGUGGGCCCGAGCAAAACACAGAAGAUUUUCAGAAAAUAUUAAAAAAUAAUGGGAGGAGAAGCCAAGAUGGCCGAAUAGGAACAGCUCGAGUCUACCGCUCCCAGCAUGAGCGACGCAGAAGACGGGUGAUUUCUGCAUUUCCUUUUGAGACACCCAUAAACUCAGAAAAUACAGUGUAAAACAAAGUGAAGAACAAGUAAACAACUCACCAGAUAUUUAUUCGUUUCUUGUUGCUCUUGGAAACACCCAGAGGACACUGGAAACAUAGCUGGGAUAGAAGGCAAAUGACGUGGAUUAAGGAGAGAACUGGUGUGGUGUGGUCCCAGAUUCUUCUGCCCAAUGCUCUAGACACAUUACCUGGGAAAGCCCUCCUCCCUCCUGAAAAAGAAAAACUUCCCCGUGGGAGAAGAGUCCUUCACGCCUCAUUAGGGGCAGCAGAGGCUCAAGUUAAGAUAAGAUACAUAGACAAGUACAUUAAUUGGUAGACAUUAGAUGCACAAUUUAUUUUUGAAUAAAAAUAUGUAUUACCUACUAAUUUAGUAACAAUAUUAUCUAAAGAUAUAAUCUAAUAAUUUAAUACAAAGAAACAUUAUAAGUUCACUAAAAUAAAUGUUAUAGAAAUAUACUGGGCUGUAUUAACUAUUUUCCUAUUAAUAUGUAGAUUCCACAAAUAACUUCAUAUGAGUGUUCCCAUGACAGUACCUCUUGCUUUUCUAUACCUGAACAUCGUGGAAAGUGCAUCUUGCAAACCAGCAAUUUUGGCCUACAAUUACGUUUUUUAAAAUGUACAUAAUAUGUAUUUCCUGCAGUACACCAUUCUACUCAUGUUUCCCAAUAACACCUUUCCUUCUAUCCAAGCCCUCAUAUUAUGCUCUGACAAUAAAUUGGGCUUUUCCAUCUGACUUGUCCAGUGAAUGGACAAUGGAAAAUGUGAUGCAAAUAUCCAUUGGUUCUUCCCUUUUUGGGAGAAAUUUUGAAGAGGUCUGGAGCUACCCUGUUGGAGACACAGGGCCUAGCCAAGAGUCACCACAAACCACCAGAUUGUGAAGGAAACUAUCUUAAACCAACCAGGCUCAGUCAACGCACCAGGUGACUAAGGCCUUUUUGUAAUCCAGGCAACACAAAUAUAUCAACUACCCAGCUGAAUCCACCACACCAAAGUGCAGAUCCACAGAACUUCAUACAAAUAAAAUGGUGAUUGUUUUUUAUAAGCCAGUAAGGUUUAAUUAGUUCCUUAAACAGCAAGUAUUAACUGUUACACCUAAGUGAACAGAAUUCACUUCUGUGUUUUUAACAAAAUUAUGUAGGGGGAGAAAAUCUUAAAUUACAAAUCAAAUACAAUCAAUAGAACUUCGCAAUCUAAUGCUAAAUUUGGGGAUGGACUAGGUUUAAUAUAUCUCAGACGCGAAAAAACGAGCUAAGAUUGAAGGAAUGGGACUGUGUUUGGAGAGUAUUUUAAUCCUCUCAAGUAUGACAGGUCACUGCUGUACCCCAGACCACACUUUCAGGCCCCUUCAAAUAAGGAAUAUUUCCUAAGUCCUUGCCUGUUCUUCUCAGCUGAAUUCACCUCAACCUUCUGAAAGUU